UACAGAGGUCCCAAGCGUUGUUCGGAUUCAUUGGGCGUAAAGGGUGCGUAGGUGGCGUCGUAAGUCGGGUGUGAAAUCUCGGGGCUUAACUCCGAAACUGCAUUCGAUACUGCGGUGCUUGAGGACUGGAGAGGGAGACGUAGGUAAUUGACGGUGUAGCAGUGAAAUGCGUAGAGAUCAUGAGGAAGACCAGUGGCGAAGGCGGGUCUCUGGACAGUUCCUGACACUGAGGCACGAAGGCCAGGGGAGCAAACGGG
rnacentral:rRNA from 1 species